rnacentral:rRNA from 1 species
UGGGGAAUUUUGGACAAUGGGCGCAAGCCUGAUCCAGCCAUGCCGCGUGCAGGAUGAAGGCCUUCGGGUUGUAAACUGCUUUUGUACGGAACGAAAAGGUGCCUUCUAAUAAAGGGCGCUCAUGACGGUACCGUAAGAAUAAGCACCGGCUAACUACGUGCCAGCAGCCGCGGUAAUACAGAGGGUGCGAGCGUUAAUCGGAAUUACUGGGCGUAAAGCGCACGUAGAUGGCUUCGUAAGUCGGAUGUGAAAUCCCCGGGCUCAACCUGGGAACUGCAUUCGAAACUGCGUUGCUCGAGUGUGGAAGAGGGAAGCGGAAUUCCAGGUGUAGCGGUGAAAUGCGUAGAUAUCUGGAGGAACAUCAGUGGCGAAAGCGGCUUCCUGGUCCAACACUGACAUUCAGGUGCGAAAGCGUGGGGAGCAAACA